UACGUAGGUGGCAAGCGUUGUCCGGAUUUAUUGGGUUUAAAGGGCGCGUAGGCGGCCCUGUAAGUCAGUGCUGAAAUAUCCCAGCUUAACUGGGAGGGUGGCAUUGAUACUGCGGGGCUAGAGUACAGAUGAGGUAGGCGGAAUGUGUCAUGUAGCGGUGAAAUGCUUAGAUAUGACACAGAACACCGAUUGCGAAGGCAGCUCACUAAACUGUAACUGACGCUGAGGCACGAAAGCGUGGGGAGCAAACAGG
rnacentral:rRNA from 1 species